rnacentral:rRNA from 1 species
AUAGCGUAUAUUAAAGUUGUUGUGGUUAAAAAGCUCGUAGUUGAACCUUGGGCCUGGCUGGCCGGUCCGCCUCACCGCGUGUACUGGUCCGGCCGGGUCUUUCCCUCUGUGGACCCCCGUGCCCUUCACUGGGUGUGGCGGGGAAACAGGACUUUUACUUUUAAAAAAUUAGAGUGCUCCAAGCAGGCCUAUGCUCGAAUACAUUAGCAUGGAAUAAUAAAAUAGGACGUGCGGUUCUAUUUUGUUGGUUUCUAGAGCCGCCGUAAUGAUUAAUAGGGACAGUCGGGGGCAUCAGUAUUCAAUUGUCAGAGGUGAAAUUCUUGGAUUUAUUGAAGACUAACUACUG